rnacentral:rRNA from 1 species
CAGGCCUAACACAUGCAAGUCGAGCGGAAACGACUUAACUGAACCUUCGGGGAACGUUAAGGCGUCGAGCGGCGGACGGGUGAGUAAUGCCUAGGAAAUUGCCCUGAUGUGGGGGAUAACCAUUGGAAACGAUGGCUAAUACCGCAUGAUGCCUACGGGCCAAAGAGGGGGACCUUCGGGCCUCUCGCGUCAGGAUAUGCCUAGGUGGGAUUAGCUAGUUGGUGAGGUAAUGGCUCACCAAGGCGACGAUCCCUAGCUGGUCUGAGAGGAUGAUCAGCCACACUGGAACUGAGACACGGUCCAGACUCCUACGGGAGGCAGCAGUGGGGAAUAUUGCACAAUGGGCGCAAGCCUGAUGCAGCCAUGCCGCGUGUGUGAAGAAGGCCUUCGGGUUGUAAAGCACUUUCAGUCGUGAGGAAGGUAGUGUAGUUAAUAGCUGCAUUAUUUGACGUUAGCGACAGAAGAAGCACCGGCUAACUCCGUGCCAGCAGCCGCGGUAAUACGGAGGGUGCGAGCGUUAAUCGGA